rnacentral:rRNA from 1 species
AGGACGCUUCCUUCGGGAAGCGAGCGUACACAGGUGCUGCAUGGCUGUCGUCAGCUCGUGUCGUGAGAUGUUGGGUUAGGUCCCGCAACGAGCGCAACCCCUGCAUUCAGUUGCCAUCGGUGAGGCCGGGCACUCUGGAUGGACUGCCGGCGACAAGCCGGAGGAAGGUGGGGACGACGUCAAGUCAUCAUGGCCCUUAUGUCCUGGGCUACACACGUGCUACAAUGGCCGGUACAGAGCACAGCGAGGCCGCGAGGCGGAGCGAAUCGCUUAAAGCCGGUCCCAGUACGGAUUGGAGUCUGCAACCCGACUCCAUGAAGUUGGAAUCGCUAGUAAUCGCGCAUCAGCAUGGCGCGGUGAAUACGUUCCCGGGCCUU